rnacentral:tRNA from 1 species
GGAGGGGCGGCCGUAGAGGUGUUGAGUUGUAGCCUUAAUUAUGAGACUGUAAGUCUCCCUCUCUAUU